UGAGAACAUUGAGCAGCAGAAUCAGGAGAAAUGGGACACCCGGGGUUAGAAUGUGGUGGAGGAACUCGAUUGUGACCCAGACACUGGAGAAUUGAACAGCGUCUGUUACAUCACAAAACCAGGGGGCGUUCCCCAGCCAAUACCGAGCCGUGAGCAUAAAAUACCAGGAAAUGUUCUUUAAACAGCUCAGCACAGUCACUGCUCCCAGAACCACAGCCGCCGUUUUCUCACUGCAAUAUUUACUUUUCAGCUUCUGGCAACAAAAUGCCACAAACCGAUCAAAGGUGAAAGUGACGGUGAACCAGACAGAGCAGUCAGUGGCUGCAUAAAGCAGGACGGCGUGGAUAUUACACACGGGGACGGAGUCCUUCAGGAAAUAAAACUGUUCCCGAUAAACAAUGGGAAUGUGUCUCAGGAUCAGGUCGAGGAUAAUGACCAGGAGAUCCGCCGCUGCCAUGGCCCCCAGGUAUCUGUGUUAGCUGUUUGGAAUCAGAAUUGGCUGGCCAGCAGAAGACAGCGAGUGGUAGUAGAAGGAAAAUAUUCUGCCUGGAAGUCUGUGAAUCCCUGCAGUGUGGAAACAAGCCCUUCGGCCCAACAAGUCCAUACCAACCUUCCAAAGAGUAACCUUCCCAUGGCCUUACAGUUACAACUGACUAGUGCACCUAAAGUAGAAAUCUCUGAACACUAUGGACUAUUGAAUUAUACAGCUUUGGGCUGUGGGAGGAAACGGGAGCACCCAUCAGAAGCUCACGCACACAAGGGGACAAGAUGCAAACUCCACACAGAUAGUCGCCGAGGCUGGAAUUGAACUCAUGCCCCUGAUGCUGUGAUGGAACAGUGCGAACUACUGAGCCACUGUGCUAACCUGGAACCUCCCACCAGCCUAAUGCAAAGGGAAUUCAGCCAAAUCCAACUCUCCCAGGAUAAAAUCCCAUUGCUAGCAGCUGUGUGAGUACAAUAUCUUCAGAAGCAGAAUAACAUUUUGGACAAUCUCGCAAUUUUUCCUUUUGUCAUUAGUUGCACUAAUAUUUGGACAAGGUUCUUUCAACGUGAAAUUGCAGAAUGUGUGUGUGUGUGUGUGUGUGUGUGUCAGUGUUUUUAGAAAGGGAAAUAUGGAUUCUUUAUUUGCAAUAUCCAAACAGUUUGCCAUUCAUCAUUCCAUCAUAGUUGGUGUCACAUUGCUCUGGAUCAUAAACGUGUUGUUUUAGCAGAUUAAAGAAACUAGCCUGACUUGUUCCUAAAACUGACCCUGACCAAGUCUGAGACCGAUAUCAUCGGCUAUAUCACCGACCUGGUUACAUUUAACAUUUGUUGUGAGCAGUGGAGGAGUGGGACUAGAAAAGGAAACAGUGACCCGAAAAGCCGGGGAACUAUAGACCGGUGAGCCUGAUGUCAGUGAUGGGUAAGUUGUUGGAGGGGAUCCUGAGGGAUAGGAUUUAGAUUAACAUUUGGGAAGGUAAGGGAUGAUCGGGGUAGACAACGCGGCUUUCUGCAUGGGAAAUCAUGUCUCAUUAAUUUGAUUGAGAUUUAUGAAGAGGUGACAAAGAUGAUUGAUGAAGGCAGUUUGGUAGAUAUUGUCAAUAUGGACCUCAGCAAGGUGUUCAUUACAUUCCGAUUGGUAGAUCAGUAAGAUUCGGUCACAUGGGAUACAGAGGAAGCUAAUCACAAUUGGCUUGAAGGAAGAGGGGUAUUUUUCAGACUGGAGGCUUGUGAGCAGCAGUGUGCUGUAAGAAUCAGUAUUGAGUUCACUGCAUUUCAUCAUUUAUGUCAAGGAUUUAGAUGUGGAUAUUGGGGCCAUAGAUAGUAAGUUUAAAGAUGACAUCAGAAAGGUGCUGUAGUAGAUUAUCUCAGAGUACAACGAGACCACAAAUAGAUGGAACAAAGGGUCAAGGAGUGACAGAUGAAGUUUAGUUUAGAUAAAUACAAGGUUACGCAUUUUGGGAAGGUACAUCAGGGGAGAAAUGAUACACUUAAUGGUAAGGUCCUGGUGAGUGUUGUGAAACAAACGGACAUAGGGCUGCAGGUAGAUUGUUCCUUGAAAGUGGAGUUGAAUGCAGACAGUGCGGUACAGAACACUUUUACAAAUUUGCCUUAAUCAGUCAGAGCAUUGAGUAUAGGAGUUGUGGUGGCAUGUUGUAUCUGUACAGGAUGUUGGUGAGGCCACUGUAAGAAUACUGCGUACAACUCGGUUUUCUGCAGAAAAGAUUUACAUGGAUGUCCCAGGACUGGAGGUUUGAGCUUUAGGUAGAGGUUGAUUAGUUUGAGGUGUUUCUCCCUGGGGUGUCAGAGGCUGAAGGGUGACAUUAUAGAGGUUUAUAAAAUCAUCAGGGACAUGGAUAUUCUGAACAGCCACGUUCUGCUCCCCAGGAUAGGGGAGUCCAGAACAGGAGAGCAUAGGUUGAAGGGGAGAGGGCGAAUGAUUUAGAAGGGACCUGAAGAUAAAUGUUUCACACAGAGAGUGGUGUGCGUACAGAAAGUGCUUUCAGAGGAAGUGCUGAAGGCAGUUACAAUCGCACAUUUAAAAAGUAUCUGAAAGAGGAGGGAUAUUGGCCAAAUGCUGGUAAAUGGGACUGGAUCAGAUUUGAAAUCUCAACAGAGUGAACAGAUUGGACUAACGGGUCUGUUUCCGUUCUGUAUGACUCUCUGAUUCUAUAAGAGGGAUGACGAACAAUUCUGAAAGUACCGUUCAAAUCCGAAUCCUCUUCACUGGAAGUUUAUCGUGCCUCUACGUUCACAUUGAUUUAAAGUUGCGUUAGUAAAAUAUAUGACAGAGAACUGAGUCAUGGAUAAUGGGACGCAGACAGGAAAGUGGGGCUGAGACCCCAACCUGAUCAGCUAGAAUCUUAGUGCCUGGUGGAGAAGGUUCAACGUAUCUAAUGACUCACUCCUGUCCCUCAAUCCCGUGGUCCUGUGUUCCAUUCAGCCCAUUAAACCUGUUAGGCAGGAGCAUUUAGAGGUUACUUACUUCUAUAACCUGUUGCACAGAAACAGAGGAGAUCAUUCAGCCCUUCAAGACUGUCCCACACCCGUUGAGGUGAUUUGGGAAAUGUAAUUGUAAAACCCAGGCUGGGUAUGAAAGAGGCCCCUCAUCUCUCUUUACAGAACUUCCCCUCUCUGAAACUUAUGCUCAAUUAGCUGGUCAUAUUGUAGACCCAAAUUCAUUAUGAAUACAGCCCCCAUACCUCACCCAGCGAUGGCUCACAAAAUCCUCUGGUCUCCCUGACGGCAACAUUCAAUAACAGAACAUUCAUGAAAAUAACACCCACUAACUUUCCAAUAACAGAAUGUGAGAACAUCAGACACAGGGACAGGUCGUUCACUCCCCAAACCUGCCUUGUCCUCCACUAAGAUCAUGACUGAUCUGCUCUUGGUCUCAAAUCCUCUUUCAUACCCAAUUCAUCAUCGCCCUCACCUCUCUGACAGGACACAAGGGGUCAGGUAAAAAUGACUGGCCCUGAUAUCAAGGCUUCUGUUGACAUCAAGGAGCUUAACAAAUCUGAACUUAAUGGGAAUCAGAGAAAACUCUCCAGUGUUUGGAGUCAAACAUGGCACAAAGGAAGAUGUUCACCAUCUCAGUCCUGGGUCACCUGUUUGGAAAAUCCUCAGGGAAGCUUCCUCUUCACAAACAUCUUCAGCUGCUUCAUCAAUGUCUCCCCGCCCACACCCUCCCCACCAUAAGAUCCGAAGUGGGGGUGGUCACUGAGGAUUCCACAAUUUGACGCCCCCGUCAGCUCCUGAACUGGACUGUGUCCAUGUGCAGCAAGACAUGGACUCCAUUGAGGCUUGUGCUUUUAAAGAGUCCAUAACAUUCAUAUAAAGGAUUGCCACAGUAAAAUAAGAGAUCAUUCUGCACCUCUCACUGGUUUCACAGGAAUAUGAGGAAGUCGUUCAGCCCAUUGAUACUAUUGGAGAAGAACAGGGACAGCCCAUUCAGUGCCAUUAGAUUACUUACAGUGUGGAAACAGGCCCUUCGGCCCAACAAGUCAACACCGACCCGCCGAAGCGCAACCCACCCAUACCCCUACAUUUGCCCCUUACCUAACACUACAGGCAAUUUAGCAUAGCCAAUUCACCUAACCUGCACAUCUUUGGACUGUGGGAGGAAACCGGAGCACCCGGAGGAAAUCCACACAGACACGCGGAGAACGUGCAAACUCCACACAGUCAAUCGCCUGAGGCGGGAGUUGAACCCGGGUCUCUGGCGCUGUGAGGCAGCAGUGCUAACCACUGUGCCACCGUGCCGCCCGUAACGUAUUUAUAUUGGACAAGUUAACAUAUUACUCAGGAAGAGAAGGAUUCUAGUGUGAUGGGCCACACCAGAACCCCUCGACAAUAUUUGAAGGCGGUAGCCUAGACUCUAAUGUUUUCUUAUUUUAAAGAAAAUGUAAAGUGUCUGUUCCAGAUGCAAUGUGAGUGGUCAAACAACUCGGUGUGAAGCAUAACACCAUUUAUGUAAACACGAUAGAUGAAAUAAAACCAAAGAAAGAAGAAUUUAGAAUAAUGUAUUUAUAUUGGACAAGUUAACAGAAUAAUAGAUCUAGGACCUAAUACUAAUGAACUGUUCCAAUACUGGAAAAUCACAUGAACACAGCCCUUGGCAAAAAGGAAUAUUCAGACACUGAAUGACACAAAUAUUUCUCCAAUUCAGGAUUUAAAAACAGCAUCAAGAGAAAAUCCAUAGAGAGUAGCUGCCAGGAGACAUUCACUAAAGUUUUCAACUCGGUGGAGACCCCAAUAAUUUCUGAUGUUACUGAGAAACCAAAACCCAGAAAUCCUAAUCUGUGAGAGCUGACCAUACCCAUUCCAUCUGCAUUAAAAUAAACCUAAGGCCUCACUAGUUAUUUACUCAAGUGGUCCUAACAAGCCAGCUUGGUAACAGUCAUUCAAUCUCUCUCGUAAAAGAAACCAGAACAAAAUAACCUCUUAAAGCUAUAGCAUCAUCACACUAGUCAGCACAUCGAGCUGUCAUACAGGAACUAGGGAUAACCAGUCAGGCCCUUGGCCGUGUCCAAUCGGACGAGGAAGAAGCCAGUCAGUCCCUUGAGUGACUUACACAGGAACAGUAGGAGGCCAUUCCCACCUCAAUGCACUUACACAGGGACAGAAUGAGGUAAUUGAUGCUGAUUCCUGAUGAAUGUCUUAUGCUCGAAACGUCGAUUCUCCUGCUGUGCUUUUCCAGCAAACCACUGUCUACUCUGAUCUUCAGCAUCAACAGUCCUCGCUGUCUCCUAACUGAUGCUCUAACAUGGUGAACAAGUGGAGCAGAGGCUGCACACACAGACUGCUCCACGUUGUUCUUCUUAGCUCCGUCUGUCAUGAUACACACGUGGGACUUUAACGUGAUUUUCUCGCGGUAAGGAGGGAAGCCAUAUGUGUUGUGUGAAGUCACAAGAAGGCACCUUCCACCUCCGAGAAGCCAGCCUUGUGUUCUCUGUGUAGCGUGGAAGUGGAUGGGAAUGGCUACCUGUUUCAGAAUGAAGGUAUUGUGGCUGCUGUUGUGUAUUGUGAACAACAUGGCGUUCAGUACAGAUUCACUCGCCGGCUGCACAAUAACGUGGGGAGAGUUAAUGUAGGCAUAUAAACUAUUAGGAAAGUCACGUUAGACUGAUGUAUGGACUCUCUAAGUUCAAAUAAUGCUGAUCUUGUUCAUGUUGAUCUUGUCUAGUGAAUGUCCUGUUCAGUGUAACCUGUGUGCCUUACUCUGUCCAAGUCUAUUUCCACCCUAUGAUCUGUCUGGCCAUGUUUACUAUGAUCUUCCUCCACUGCUCAUAAA